rnacentral:rRNA from 1 species
AUUGAACGCUGGCGGCAGGCCUAACACAUGCAAGUCGAGCGAGCGGCGGACGGGUGAGUAAUGCCUAGGAAUCUGCCUGGUAGUGGGGGAUAACGUCCGGAAACGGGCGCUAAUACCGCAUACCAUCGGAUGUGCCCAGAUGUGAGUAGCUUGUAGGUGAGGGAACGGCUCACCUAGGCGACGGUCCCUAGCUGUGCGGAGAGGAUGGCUAGCCACAGUGGAACUGAGACACGGUCCAGGCUCCUACGGGAGGCAGCAGUGGGGAAUAUUGCACAAUGGGCGCAAGCCUGAUGCAGCCAUGCCGCGGGUAUUAAGAAGGCCUUCGGGGUGUAAAGUACUGUCAGCGGGGAGGCGUUACCCGCAGAAGAAGCACCGGCUAACUCCGUGCCAGCAGCCGCGGUAAUUC